rnacentral:tRNA from 1 species
ACCUUUCUAGUAUAAGCAGUAUAAGUGACUUCCAAUCAUUUGGGCUUGGUGAAAAUCCAAGGAAAGGUA